rfam:Mus musculus chromosome 13, GRC primary reference assembly.
AUUCAUAGCCAAAGUAAUAAUAUUUGUAAAGAAAUAACCUCAUGGAAGACCUUAUUCUUGCAUAUUAGCAAGGCUGUCACCAUCUAACUGGUAUCAGAUACUGAUUUGCAAAAGAACAGUC